rnacentral:rRNA from 1 species
GAAUUCGCCCUUAGAGUUUGAUCCUGGCUCAGGAUGAACGCUAGCGGCAGGCUUAACACAUGCAAGUCGAACGGUAACAGGAAUUAGCUUGCUAAUUUGCUGACGAGUGGCGCACGGGUGCGUAACGCGUAUACAAUCUACCUUUUACAGGGGGAUAGCCCAGAGAAAUUUGGAUUAAUACCUCAUAGUAUAUAGACUUGGCAUCAAGAUUAUAUUAAAGAUUUAUCGGUAAAAGAUGAGUAUGCGUUCUAUUAGCUAGAUGGUAAGGUAACGGCUUACCAUGGCAACGAUAGAUAGGGGCCCUGAGAGGGGGAUCCCCCACACUGGUACUGAGACACGGACCAGACUCCUACGGGAGGCAGCAGUGAGGAAUAUUGGACAAUGGGCGAGAGCCUGAUCCAGCCAUGCCGCGUGCAGGAAGACUGCCCUAUGGGUUGUAAACUGCUUUUAUACAGGAAGAAACACCUCUACGUGUAGAGGCUUGACGGUACUGUAAGAAUAAGGAUCGGCUAACUCCGUGCCAGCAGCCGCGGUAAUAAGGGCG